GCCCUUGUGGUGUAAUGAUAGCACAAUUGGUUUCUAUUCAAGAAGUCCAGGUUCGAGUCCUGGUAAGGACA
rnacentral:tRNA from 1 species